rnacentral:rRNA from 1 species
UACAGAGGGUGCGAGCGUUAAUCGGAGUUACUGGGCGUAAAGGGCGCGUAGGCGGUUAGACAAGUGAGGUGUGAAAUCCCUGGGCUUAACCUAGGAAUUGCACUUUAAACUGUUUGGCUAGAGUACAGUAGAGGGUAGUGGAAUUUCCGGUGUAGCGGUGAAAUGCGUAGAGAUCGGAAGGAACACCAGUGGCGAAGGCGACUACCUGGACUGACACUGACGCUGAGGCGCGAAAGCGUGGGGAGCAAACAGG